CAAACGAUAAUAAUUCACGAGCCAUGAUCAGCUUCAAAGGGAAAAGCCCUCGUCUGCUUUCAAACUUGCCCAUCUUCUUCUUCGAAGCUCGAAAGACUUUUAAAUUGUGGAUGAGGGUAGAUAAAUCUUCGAAUGGGAAUCGUAAGAGUUGGGCCCAAGUGAGGCCACUCUGCCCAUCUAAUGGGUUCUUCUAUUUUCCGCAGAGGGACGUGAAGAACAGAAAAGAAAGCAGAGAAUUGGCAGAAAGUAGAGUAGAAGGCAGGAUCUCUAACAUGUGCGCUCUGAGCGUCUCGACAAGUCGGAUUAACUUCGUUUCGUAGCGUUUGGAGGACCAGCUGUGACUAUUAAGCAGUUCAUAAUCUUCUGAGGAUGGCCUGAGCAGGAACUUGCGAGGGAGGUCGAAUGAAUCUAUUCCAAGUGGUUAUUUUACUCCCACUUCAGAAAUCAGAGUCUUUAGUUUUGCAGAGCUGAAAAUUGCAACGAGAAGCUUCAGAUCUGAUACAAUUCUCGGCGAGGGUGGUUUUGGUAGAGUCUUCAAAGGCUGCCUUGAUGUUAAGGGGUCUUCCCAGAGCAAAAGAAUGACUCCAAUUACCAUCAAAAUGUCGAACCCAGAGAGCAUGGGAUUCAAAGAGUGGAAGUCAGAGGUGAACUUCCUGCGCAGCUUAUCACAUCCAAACAUUGUCAGGCUAAUGGGAUACUGUGGGAGGAUAAAGAACUACUGCUUGUCCAUGAGUUCAUGCCAAAGGGUACCCUGAAGAAUCAUCUCUUUGGAAGUAAGGUUCUUUCUUGGGCGAUAUAUACAUGCUUGCUUUAAAUUUAUGGCAAAUAUGAUCUUUUCUUGGUUCAA